rnacentral:rRNA from 1 species
AUGAAGCUCUUCACCGUCAUGUUUUCCUACCUCCUCCUCCUUGGCCUCUAUACACCACCAAGCCUGUCAGACAGUCCACCUCUUCAAGAUAUGUGCCCUAUGGCGCCUCAGGGUGAAAGGAAGCUGUUCAUGAACGGCUACCUCUGCAAGCACCCUAGCACCAUACUGGCUUCUGAUUUCAAGACUUUGCUUCUCAACCAUGCCGGGAAACUAGACAACGUGGUCAUCGUCACCGCUGCCGAGUUCCCUGGCCUCAACACCCUUGGCAUGUCCAUGGCACGGACCGACAUCGACCCGUAUGGGCUAGUGCUUCCCCACUCUCACCCAAGGGCGUCUGAGAUGAUGUUUGUCCAUGAUGGCAGGGUGCUGGCUGGUUUCUUUGACACAACCGGUAAGCUGUUUCAGAAGAGACUAUGUAAGGGGGAUGUGUUCAUCUUUCCCCGUGGUUUGGUUCAUUUCAUCAUGAACUAUGGUUUCCGUCUUGCAACGACGUUCUCGGUGCUUAAAAGUCAGAACCCUGGUGUAGUUGGCAUCACCCAUGCAAUGUUCGCGCCAGAUUCAGAUGUAGUUGAGGGGCUGGUGGCCAGAGUGAUGAAGUUCAGAGAGAUGGAAAUCUCCGACAACAAGACUACUGAUUUUCCAUGGACUUCCUGA